UUGUGGAACCAAAGUCGUUUUGACCGACAUUGUGUGUGUUCGAUGAGUUUUCAUUGACAAUUUACACAUUUAUUUGUUUACAUUUGUUACUUACGUUUAGGCCAACGAGAAUGAAUUCCGAGAAGAAAAUUUUUAUUACGAAAGUAUUGGCUUUGAGAAGCCAGAUAAAUUUCUUGCGCAACGACGAUUCUUUAAGAGAAUCGAUAGAAGUUCUUAGUACCCAACAGAUUCGCCUUAAAAAAAUAUCAAUAAUUCCAGCAACGCAAAUCAAUUAUGGGAACACAAUUGCCAACGAAAUGGUUCCGUUUUUUUAAAGAAAACUUUCGCAUGAACCGCAGUUCAUUUAAAAAAUUAUGUGAAAUCCUCCGGCGUCUACAAAAAAUGAAUGCGAGCUACAGAAAAGCUAUUCCGCUCGAGAAAAGAGUGGCUAUAGCAAUAUUUGCUUUAUGCUCAUCUGCGGAGUAUCGCUGAUAUGUUCGGAGUUGGUAAAUCUAGGGUUUGCUGGAAUUUUGUACCGAAAUACCAUCCUGCUUCAAAAUGCUGCCACUAAAUAGAGAAAGCAUAACAGAAUUGGUGACUGCUUUCGAUGUACUUGGAUUCCCAAAAUGCUUAGGAGCAGUUGACAGAUGCCACAUUGAGGAACAAAUGUUGAACACGCAGCCGUUUCCACCGAAAUUUCCAUCGGUUCGGAGUUCGUAGAACCUUUUUA